rnacentral:rRNA from 1 species
GAUGAACGCUGGCGGCGUGCCUAAUACAUGCAAGUCGAGCGAACAGACGAGGAGCUUGCUCCUCUGACGUUAGCGGCGGACGGGUGAGUAACACGUGGAUAACCUACCUAUAAGACUGGGAUAACUUCGGGAAACCGGAGCUAAUACCGGAUAAUAUAUUGAACCGCAUGGUUCAAUAGUGAAAGACGGUUUUGCUGUCACUUAUAGAUGGAUCCGCGCCGCAUUAGCUAGUUGGUAAGGUAACGGCUUACCAAGGCAACGAUGCGUAGCCGACCUGAGAGGGUGAGCCCCCACAGGAGAACAGAGACACUCUACAGUCUCCCAGGGGGGGCAGCAGGGGAGACUCCCCCACAGGGGGCAAGCGUGUGACGGCACAGCCGCGCGAGUGAGAAAAGGCUCUGGGUCUCGAAACACUCUUUUAUGGGGAAAAAAAAAGUGUAAAUAUAACUGCGCGCCUUGAGGGUACCCAUACAGAGAACCCCGCCGAUCACCGC